CCGUAGGUGAAACCUGCGGAGGGAUCAUUACACAAUAAAAUACGAAGGCCGUUCGCGGCUGGACUAUUUAUUACCCUUGUCUUUUGCGCACUUGUUGUUUCCUGGGCGGGUUCGCUCGCCACCAGGACCACAAUAUAAACCUUUUUUAUGCAGUUGCAAUCAGCGUCAGUAUAACAAAUGUAAAUCAUUUACAACUUUCAACAACGGAUCUCUUGGUUCUGGCAUCGAUGAAGAACGCAGCGAAAUGCGAUACGUAGUGUGAAUUGCAGAAUUCAGUGAAUCAUCGAAUCUUUGAACGCACAUUGCGCCCUUUGGUAUUCCAAAGGGCAUGCCUGUUCGAGCGUCAUUUGUACCCUCAAGCUUUGCUUGGUGUUGGGCGUUUUUGUCUUUGGCCCGCCAAAGACUCGCCUUAAAAUGAUUGGCAGCCGGCCUACUGGUUUCGCAGCGCAGCACAUUUUUGCGCUUGCAAUCAGCAAAAGAGGACGGCAAUCCAUCAAGACUCCUUCUCACGAAACUGGAGCCUAGUCCAUCCCUAUGGGCGACUUGAAUUCGUAUAGUUAAUUCGCCUCCUU
rnacentral:rRNA from 1 species